UACAGAGGUCCCAAGCGUUGUUCGGAUUCAUUGGGCGUAAAGGGUGCGUAGGCGGCGCGGUAAGUCGGGUGUGAAAUCCCUCGGCCCAACCGAGGAACUGCGCCCGAGACUGCUUCUCUUGAGUCCCGGAGAGGAAGAUGGAAUUCCCGGUGUAGCGGUGAAAUGCGUAGAUAUCUGGAGGAACACCGGUGGCGAAGGCGGCAUCCUGGACCAACACUGACGCUGAGUGAGCGAAAGCCAGGGGAGCAAACGGGG
rnacentral:rRNA from 1 species